GGAGAGAUGGCCGAGCGGUUUAAGGCACCGGUCUUGAAAACCGGCGUAGUGGCGACACUACCGUGGGUUCGAAUCCCACUCUCUCCGCCA
rnacentral:tRNA from 4 species